rnacentral:lncRNA from 10 species
GCAGUGGUGCAAUCUUGGCUCACUGCAACCUCCGCCUCCCAGGUUCAAGUGAUUCUCCUGCCUCAGCUUCCCAAGUAGCUGGGAUCACAGGCAUGUGCUACUGCACCCAGCUAAUUUUUGUAUUUCUAGAAGAGACGGGGUUUCACCAUGUUGGUCAGGCUGGUCUUGAACUCCUGACCUCAGGUGAUCCACCCAUCUUGGCGUCCCAAAGUGCUGGGAUUACAGGCGUGAACCACCAUGCCCAGCCAAUUUAAUGGACACUUAACUUAUCCAUAACCCCUCCAGUUAUUAUGCCAUACCAGUAUAUAACUGGCUGAAGAUUAAUCACAUUUUGCAGAACGUGAGCCAUGGUGAUGGAAGCCUCUUCCAAACCAAAGUGCUUAAUAAGUGCUCGUGAGGACCAUACAAUGUGGAAGGAACCUGGGUCCCUGAAAAUUCCCACAGAAGGCUACUGACCAAGAAAUCUUUCAAAAGACUAUGACAGGAGCAAAAACUACAUUUUUAUUGGGUUAAACUACAGAGAUUUCUGGGUGUAUCUGUUACAGCAACUGGUGUUAAUUAAACAGAGAAGAGCACCGUUCCAUUUUCUCUUUAAGGUUGGAGUAUUAAAUUGCCUCUAUUGUCUCUUUUACGGUAUUGAUAUUUUUUGAUUGAUUGAUCGACCAGGUUUCUUUACUAUCAAUUCUUCACCUUUAAUGGGC